CUCAAGCAGGCGCCCCGCGCAUGGUACCAGCGGUUCGCUCAUCACGCUCAUCGACUGGGCUUUGUGGCUUCUCAGAUCGACGUGUCCCUGUUCGUGCUCCGGCACGGCUCUGAGAUGGCCUACCUGCUCCUCUACGUGGACGACAUCAUCCUCACCGCGUCCAGCGCCGCGCUUCUCCAGCACAUCACUGACCAGCUUCAUCGGGAGUUCUCCAUGACCGAUCUCGGGGACCUGACUUACUUCCUCGGGAUCUCGGUCUCUCGGUCUUCUUCCGGGAUGCUUCUCUCGCAGCGGCAGUAUGUCAUCGACCUUCUUCAGCGCGCUGGCAUGAUGGACGGCAACCCGUGUGUCACGCCCAUUGACACCCGUUGCAAGCUCUCCGCCGACGAGGGUCCUCUUGUC
rnacentral:rRNA from 1 species